UUCCUACGGGGCGCAGCAGUGGGGAAUAUUGCACAAUGGGGGAAACCCUGAUGCAGCGACGCCGCGUGAGUGAAGAAGUAUUUCGGUACGUAAAGCUCUAUCAGCAGGGAAGAAAAAAAGUCCUUUGGACUUUGGACGGUACCUGACUAAGAAGCCCCGGCUAACUACGUGCCAGCAGCCGCGGUAAUACGUAGGGGGCAAGCGUUAUCCGGAUUUACUGGGUGUAAAGGGAGCGUAGACGGCAAUACAAGUCGGAAGUGAAAUACCCGGGCUCAACCUGGGAACUGCUUUGGAAACUGUAUGGC
rnacentral:rRNA from 1 species